rnacentral:rRNA from 1 species
GAUGAACGCUGGCGGCGUGCCUAAUACAUGCAAGUCGAGCGAACAGACGAGGAGCUUGCUCCUCUGACGUUAGCGGCGGACGGGUGCGUAACACGUGGAUAACCUACCUAUAAGACUGGGAUAACUUCGGGAAACCGGAGCUAAUACCGGAUAAUAUAUUGAACCGCAUGGUUCAAUAGUGAAAGACGGUUUUGCUGUCACUUAUAGAUGGAUCCGCGCCGCAUUAGCUAGUUGGUAAGGUAACGGCUUACCAAGGCAACGAUGCGUAGCCGACCUGAGAGGGUGAUCGGCCACACUGGAACUGAGACACGGUCCAGACUCCUACGGGAGGCAGCAGUAGGGAAUCUUCCGCAAUGGGCGAAAGCCUGACGGAGCAACGCCACGUGAGUGAUGAAGGUCUUCGGAUCGUAAAACUCUGUUAUUAGGGAAGAACAAAUGUGUAAGUAACUAUGCACGUCUUGACGGUACCUAAUCAGAAAGCCACGGCUAACUACGUG